rnacentral:rRNA from 1 species
CAGCAGCCGCGGUAAUACGUAGGGUGCAAGCGUUAAUCGGAAUUACUGGGCGUAAAGCGUGCGCAGGCGGUUUGUUAAGACAGAUGUGAAAUCCCCGGGCUCAACCUGGGAACUGCAUUUGUGACUGGCAAGCUAGAGUGUGGCAGAAGGGGGUGGAAUUCCGCGUGUAGCAGUGAAAUGCGUAGAUAUGCGGAGGAACACCGAUGGCGAAGGCAGCCCCCUGGGCCAACACUGACGCUCAUGCACGAAAGUGUGGGGAGCAAACAGGAUUAGAUACCCCCGUAGUCCCUGUCUCUUAUAC